GCAGCCGUAGCUCAGCUGGAUAGAGCGCUGCCCUCCGAAGGCAGAGGUCCUGAGUUCGAAUCUCAGCGGUUGCG
rnacentral:tRNA from 1 species